AGCGAACGCUGGCGGCAGGCCUAACACAUGCAAGUCGAACGAUCCUUCGGGAUAGUGGCGGACGGGUGAGUAACACGUGGGAACGUGCCCUUUGGUUCGGAAUAACUCAGGGAAACUUGAGCUAAUACCGGAUGUGCCCUUCGGGGGAAAGAUUUAUCGCCAUCGGAGCGGCCCGCGUUGGAUUAGCUAGUUGGUGGGGUAAAGGCCCACCAAGGCUACGAUCCAUAGCUGGUCUGAGAGGAUGGUCAGCCACACUGGGCCUGAGACACGGCCCAGACUCCUACGGGAGGCAGCAGUGGGGAAUCUUGCGCAAUGGGCGAAAGCCUGACGCAGCCAUGCCGCGUGAAUGAUGAAGGUCUUAGGAUUGUAAAAUUCUUUCACCGGGGACGAUAAUGACGGUACCCGGAGAAGAAGCCCCGGCUAACUUCGUGCCAGCAGCCGCCGUAACAC
rnacentral:rRNA from 1 species